ensembl:snRNA U6 U6 spliceosomal RNA
GUUUUUCUUAACUUAUAUAACACAUAUACUAAAAUUGGAAAAAUACAAAGAAGAUUGGCAUGGCCCCUGUGCAAGGAUGACAUACUAUUAGUUUAGUAGUUCUCUUAAUUU